rfam:Oscillatoria acuminata PCC 6304, complete genome.
CCGGGUGCCUAUGGCUUCGUGGCCCCACGCCGACUCCUUCCCGAACUCGGACGUGAAACGCGACUGCGGCGAAGAUACUUGGAGGGUAGCCUCCUGGGAAAAUAGCUCGGUGCCCGGU